rnacentral:rRNA from 1 species
AUUGAACGCUGGCGGCAUGCUUUACACAUGCAAGUCGAACGGUAACAGGCCGCAAGGUGCUGACGAGUGGCGAACGGGUGAGUAAUGCAUCGGAACGUGCCCAGUCGUGGGGGAUAACGCAGCGAAAGCUGUGCUAAUACCGCAUACGAUCUAUGGAUGAAAGCGGGGGACCGUAAGGCCUCGCACGAUUGGAGCGGCCGAUGUCAGAUGAGCUAGUUGGUGGGGUAAAGGCCCACCAAGGCGACGAUCUGUAGCUGGUCUGAGAGGACGACCAGCCACAAUGGGACUGAGACACGGCCCAGACUCCUACGGGAGGCAGCAGUGGGGAAUUUUGGACAAUGGGCGCAAGCCUGAUCCAGCAAUGCCGCGUGCAGGAAGAAGGCCUUCGGGUUGUAAACUGCUUUUGUACGGAACGAAACGGUCUGGGUUAAUACCCUGGGCUAAUGACGGUACCGUAAGAAUAAGCACCGGCUAACUACGUGCCAGCCGCCGCCGUAA